UGUAUCUGAAGCCUGACGAGGAUGAGAACCUCCGGGGGCAAGAGGUUCGACCCGAGCGAAGCGAGAGAACGUUGCGCCAGCAACGGCCCGCAGGGCGAGCCACGUAGUGGCGAGUCAUCCUCUAUCACCGACCA
rnacentral:sRNA from 1 species